rnacentral:rRNA from 1 species
AUUGAACGCUGGCGGAAUGCUUUACACAUGCAAGUCGAACGGCAGCACGGGGCAACCUGGUGGCGAGUGGCGAACGGGGUUAGUAAUACAUCGGAACGUGCCCAAUCGUGGGGGAUAACGUAGCGAAAGUUACGCUAAUACCGCAUACGAUCUACGGAUGAAAGCGGGGGAUCGCAAGACCUCGCGCGAAUGGAGCGGCCGAUGUCAGGAUUAGGUAGUUGGUGGGGUAAAGGCUCACCAAGCCAACGAUCUGUAGCUGGUCUGAGAGGACGACCAGCCACACUGGAACUGAGACACGGUCCAGACUCCUACGGGAGGCAGCAGUGGGGAAUUUUGGACAAUGGGCGCAAGCCUGAUCCAGCCAUUCCGCGUGCAGGAUGAAGGCCUUCGGGUUGUAAACUGCUUUUGUACGGAACGAAACGGCGAGCUCUAAUACAGUUUGCUAAUGACGGUACCGUAAGAAUAAGCACCGGCUAACUACGUG